UACGGGCGGUCCAAACGUUAUUCGGAAUCACUGGGCUUACAGAGUUCGUAGGCGGUCCGGAAAGUGGGGUGUGAAAGCCCUCGGCUCAACCGAGGAACUGCGCUCCAAACUACCGUGCUAGAGGAAGAUAGAGGUGAGCAGAACUGAUGGUGGAGCGGUGAAAUGCGUUGAUAUCGGGAGGAACACCAGUGGCGAAGGCGACUACCUGGCCUGUUCUUGACGCUGAGGCGCGAAAGCUAGGGGAGCAAACGGG
rnacentral:rRNA from 1 species